GGUUAAGUGACUAAGCGUACACGGUGGAUGCCUAGGCAGUCAGAGGCGAUGAAGGGCGUGCUAAUCUGCGAAAAGCGUCGGUAAGGUGAUAUGAACCGUUAUAACCGGCGAUACCCGAAUGGGGAAACCCAGUGUGUUUCGACACAUUAUCAUGUCAUGAAUACAUAGUGGCAUGAGGCGAACCGGGGGAACUGAAACAUCUAAGUACCCCGAGGAAAAGAAAUCAACCGAGAUUCCCCCAGUAGCGGCGAGCGAACGGGGAGGAGCCCAGAACCUGAAUCGGCUUGUGUGUUAGUGGAAGCGUCUGGAAAGUCGCGCAGCAAAGGGUGAUAGCCCCGUACACUAAAAUGCACAGGUCGUGAGUUCGAUGAGUAGGGCGGGACACGUGACAUCCUGUCUGAAUAUGGGGGGACCAUCCUCCAAGGCUAAAUACUCCUGACUGACCGAUAGUGAACCAGUACCGUGAGGGAAAGGCGAAAAGAACCCCGGCGAGGGGAGUGAAAUAGAACCUGAAACCGUGUACGUACAAGCAGUGGGAGCACCUUCGUGGUGUGACUGCGUACCUUUUGUAUAAUGGGUCAGCGACUUAUAUUUUGUAGCAAGGUUAACCGUAUAGGGGAGCCGUAGGGAAACCGAGUCUUAACUGGGCGACUAGUUGCAAGGUAUAGACCCGAAACCCGGUGAUCUAGCCAUGGGCAGGUUGAAGGUUGGGUAACACUAACUGGAGGACCGAACCGACUAAUGUUGAAAAAUUAGCGGAUGACUUGUGGCUGGGGGUGAAAGGCCAAUCAAACCGGGAGAUAGCUGGUUCUCCCCGAAAGCUAUUUAGGUAGCGCCUCGUGAACUCAUCUUCGGGGGUAGAGCACUGUUUCGGCUAGGGGGCCAUCCCGGCUUACCAAACCGAUGCAAACUCCGAAUACCGAAGAAUGUUAUCACGGGAGACACACGGCGGGUGCUAACGUCCGUCGUGAAGAGGGAAACAACCCAGACCGCCAGCUAAGGUCCCAAAGUCAUGGUUAAGUGGGAAACGAUGUGGGAAGGCAUAGACAGCCAGGAUGUUGGCUUAGAAGCAGCCAUCAUUUAAAGAAAGCGUAAUAGCUCACUGGUCGAGUCGGCCUGCGCGGAAGAUGUAACGGGGCUAAACCAUGCACCGAAGCUGCGGCAGCGACGCUUAGGCGUUGUUGGGUAGGGGAGCGUUCUGUAAGCCGUUGAAGGUGGCCUGUGAGGGUUGCUGGAGGUAUCAGAAGUGCGAAUGCUGACAUAAGUAACGAUAAAGCGGGUGAAAAGCCCGCUCGCCGGAAGACCAAGGGUUCCUGUCCAACGUUAAUCGGGGCAGGGUGAGUCGACCCCUAAGGCGAGGCUGAAAAGCGUAGUCGAUGGGAAACAGGUUAAUAUUCCUGUACUUGGUGUUACUGCGAAGGGGGGACGGAGAAGGCUAGGCUGGCCGGGCGACGGUUGUCCCGGUUUAAGCGUGUAGGGGGUGUGACCUGGUAAAUCCGGUUGCAUGCUAACCCUGAGGCGUGAUGACGAUGCACUACGGUGCAGAAGUAGUUGAUGCCCUGCUUCCAGGAAAAUCCUCUAAGCUCCAGGUAACAUUAAAUCGUACCCCAAACCGACACAGGUGGUCAGGUAGAGAAUACCAAGGCGCUUGAGAGAACUCGGGUGAAGGAACUAGGCAAAAUGGUGCCGUAACUUCGGGAGAAGGCACGCUGGCAUGUAGGUGAAGUCCCUCGCGGAUGGAGCUGAAGCCAGUCGAAGAUACCAGCUGGCUGCAACUGUUUAAUAAAAACACAGCACUGUGCAAACACGAAAGUGGACGUAUACGGUGUGACGCCUGCCCGGUGCUGGAAGGUUAAUUGAUGGGGUCAGCCGCAAGGCGAAGCUCUUGAUCGAAGCCCCAGUAAACGGCGGCCGUAACUAUAACGGUCCUAAGGUAGCGAAAUUCCUUGUCGGGUAAGUUCCGACCUGCACGAAUGGCGUAAUGAUGGCCAGGCUGUCUCCACCCGAGACUCAGUGAAAUUGAACUCGCUGUGAAGAUGCAGUGUACCCGCGGCAAGACGGAAAGACCCCGUGAACCUUUACUAUAGCUUGACACUGAACAUUGAGCCUUGAUGUGUAGGAUAGGUGGGAGGCUUUGAAGCGUGGACGCCAGUCUGCGUGGAGCCAUCCUUGAAAUACCACCCUUUAAUGUUUGAUGUUCUAACUCGGCCCCGUAAUCCGGGGUGAGGACAGUGUCUGGUGGGUAGUUUGACUGGGGCGGUCUCCUCCCAAAGAGUAACGGAGGAGCACGAAGGUUAGCUAAUCACGGUCGGACAUCGUGAGGUUAGUGCAAAGGCAUAAGCUAGCUUGACUGCGAGAGUGACGGCUCGAGCAGGUACGAAAGUAGGUCUUAGUGAUCCGGUGGUUCUGAAUGGAAGGGCCAUCGCUCAACGGAUAAAAGGUACUCCGGGGAUAACAGGCUGAUACCGCCCAAGAGUUCAUAUCGACGGCGGUGUUUGGCACCUCGAUGUCGGCUCAUCACAUCCUGGGGCUGAAGUAGGUCCCAAGGGUAUGGCUGUUCGCCAUUUAAAGUGGUACGCGAGCUGGGUUUAGAACGUCGUGAGACAGUUCGGUCCCUAUCUGCCGUGGGCGUUGGAAGAUUGAGAGGGGUUGCUCCUAGUACGAGAGGACCGGAGUGAACGCACCACUGGUGUUCGGGUUGUCAUGCCAAUGGCAUUGCCCGGUAGCUAAGUGCGGAAAAGAUAAGCGCUGAAAGCAUCUAAGCGCGAAACUUGCCUCAAGAUGAGUCUUCCCUGGACCUUUAAGGUCCCUGAAGGAACGUUUAAGACUAAGACGUUGAUAGGCUGGGUGUGUAAGUGCAGCGAUGCAUUGAGCUAACCAGUACUAAUGAUCCGUGAGGCUUAACCUU
rnacentral:rRNA from 1 species